rnacentral:rRNA from 1 species
AGAGUUUGAUCAUGGCUCAGGACGAACACUGGCGGCGUGGAUUAGGCAUGCAAGUCGAACGCGAAAGAUAACCUUCGGGCUAUCGAGUAGAGUGGCGGACGGGCGAGUAACGCGUAGGUAAUUUGCCUUUAAGUGGGGGAUAGCUCCCGGAAACGGGAAUUAAUACCGCAUGUGCCCGAUGCAAAUCGGGUAAAGGUGGCCUCUGACAUAAGCUAUCGCUUAGAGAUAAGCCUGCGUCCUAUUAGUUAGUUGGUGAGGUAAAGGCUCACCAAGGCGAUGAUAGGUAGGCGGCCUUAACGGGUGGUCGCUCACACUGGGAUUGAGAUACGGCCCAGACUCCUACGGGAGGCAGCAGUCGAGAAUCGUCUACAAUGGGGGAAACCCUGAUAGUGCGACGCCGCGUGGAUGAAGAAGCAUUUCGGUGUGUAAAAUCCUUUUCUGUAUGAUCAGUGCUUGUAAGAUGAAUAGUUUUAUGAGAGGGAUAUUAGUACAGGAAUAAGCCACGGCUAACUCCGUGCCAGCAGCCGCGGUAACACGGGGGUGGCGAGCGUUGUCCGGAAUUACUAGGCGUAAAGGGUAAGUAGGUGGAGAUGUAAGUCAGGUGUUAAAGGCGUCGGCUCAACCGACGUACGGCAUUUGAUACUGUGUUUCUAGAGUAAGGUAGGGGAAGACGGAAUUCCUGGUGUAGCGGUGGAAUGCGCGGAUAUCAGGAGGAACACCGGAGGCGAAGGCGGUCUUCUAUGCCAUUACUGACACUCAAUUACGAAGGUGUGGGUAUCAAACAGGAUUAGAUACCCUAGUAGUCC